GACGAACGCUGGCGGCGUGCUUAACACAUGCAAGUCGAACGAAGAGCGAUGGAAGCUUGCUUCUAUCAAUCUUAGUGGCGAACGGGUGAGUAACGCGUAUUCAACCUGCCCUUCAGAGGGGGACAACAGUUGGAAACGACUGCUAAUACCGCAUACGAUCUAAUCUCGGCAUCGAGGAUAGAUGAAAGGUGGCCUCUACAUGUAAGCUAUCACUGAAGGAGGGGAUUGCGUCUGAUUAGCUAGUUGGGGGGGUAAAGGCCCACCAAGGCGAUGAUCAGUAGCCGGUCUGAGAGGAUGGACGGCCACAUUGGGACUGAGACACGGCCCAGACUCCUACGGGAGGCAGCAGUGGGGAAUCUUCCGCAAUGGACGGAAGGCUGACGGAGCAACGCCGCGGGGGUGAAGGCGGCCUUCGGGUUGGAAAGCUCUGUUAAUCGGGACGAAAGGCCUUCUUGCGAAUAGUGAGAAGGAUUGACGGUACCGGAAGAGAAAGCCACGGCUAACUACGUG
rnacentral:rRNA from 1 species